ACCCCACCCCCGCACAAAAAACGCUCCUGUUCGAUCCCAUCCUUCGUUGCCGCGAUCUCCGAUCUCCCUCGCAGUUCACCAGAUCCGCGCCACCGCCUCUUCUCCCGCCCCCAUCACCUCCUCGGCCUCCCCGCCGCCCCCUCCGCACGACGCCACUGCCACCACCUUCGCGGUGGCUCCCCAGACGCCGCCGCAGCCGUGGAUCCCAGGGGCGUCGCCACCGCCACCGCAGAUCCCCACACGCCAUCGCCGCCACGUAUCCCCAUGGACGACGCAGAUGCUGCCGCUGCCACAAAUCCCCAUGGACAACGUUGACGCCGCCGCCGCCGAUCCUCACGUACGCCCCAGACGCCGCCGACCAGUGCAAAGCGUGGUCGCGUUCUCUGCACGGCCAUACGGACCAUCGCUUUGCCUGAGGUCGCCUGUCAUGGCUGCCACCUGCGUCGGCGGGAACGACUCUCUGAUGGCACCUGAGGACUCCAUAGGUGAUUUGCUAUACUGCUUCGUGAGUCGUCGUCCGCUGAUCUUGUGCAGGCCUUGGAGGAGUAUUUGCCAGUCAUUCUAGGGAUGGCAAAGGAUGGGACUGAGUUGGAAGACAAGAUAUAGUUUGCAUGGAUGAAUCAAGAAGAUGAUGCAGAGGAGACGGCACUGCCCACCGCCUGGUACGAGGUGCCGUCGGUGCUGCACAUGAUGGCAAUGCUCCGUUUAUCACGAGCAAAUUACCUUCUCCUGCCAAAGAUGUCUCUUGAAGGAUACCAUGCCAAAGUAUCUGAAGAGAACAAACGCGCUUCUGUCGAGAUAUUCCUUAAGGAGGCUGGGCACCUGGAGUGCGCCAUGCAACAUUUUCUUCCUAGGAUGUCGUCCUAAAAGAGGAAAGGUUUUCCUGUGGACCUGUCUGAAGGGGUCCUGAAAGCUACCUGCAUGCAAGCACUUGGUCAGGUAAUAAUAAUGUUUUUUUUCUUGUUUUUAUCUGAUAGUAACUACCUAGAGAGUCAGACAGAGGUCACAUGAUUCAUCAUGCAUGGUGCAAGUAAGAUAGCAUGCAGUUCAGAUGUCGGCUUCUCGGUUAGUUCAUCGAUUAUGCUAUCUAUGUCUGUGCUUGUUUGCCAGGCAAUUGAUGUUCAACUUGGAUUAUGCUAUCGUAAUUUUCACGUCUUGUUUUUCUUGUUCUAGAAUAGAUAAUCAUGUAUACACAAUAGAGAGAAAAUCUUUAUCUAUUCUUUGCAUCCUUCCUAUUGGUGAUGAGAAAAUAUACCACUGUAAAUUUGAGUGGUGUGACCUAUCAACUUCCCUUUAUUUUUCAUUGCAGUAUUUUGCUUUUGAUGCCCUGAGGGUACACAAGGUUUACCAUUUAGUUGCGUUCAACACUCAAAAAUGAUAUACCAUUUUUGUCCUACAUAUACUAAAUCAUCAAUGUGCACAAGACUAUUUGAGUUCCAUUUUUUAUCCUUCAAUAAACUAGAAGGCCACGAUAGAGACCCUGAAUUUUAUUUUCUUUAUGUAAAAUGAUAUCAAGGUUUUUUGAAUUUUGUAUUCAGUGAGAGGGAGGGAGGGAUGCCUCUUAAAGUCCUGAUUGUUGUGGUAGUACAGCUUAUUUAUUCUUUAUGAAAGAAAUCACUUUUUCUCGGUAUUAGUACUUUGUUUGAUCCUAGAGGAAGUAGCUGAGGGGUCGUUGUUUUUUCACCACUGAUCAUAAUUAAAAUAUUGUCCUCCUUCUCUUUUGUUGAAGUUGAUGCAUAUCAUGGCAAAGCAUACAGUACCCAAAUUUCAAUUUUGUAGUGUUUCCAUUACUCUGUAAUGAAACAUGCACAACGGUUGUAAAAACGAAGCACUAAGCUUCGUCGUUUGUAUGUUUCUGCAAUAUUACUGCUUGGUCGAACAUGUUUGAUGUAUUUGCACAUUAAUAAAAAUGAUGUAACAUUCAUGCCGAAUUAUUUGGGUUUUGUCCGCUUCUUUUCUAUUGUUUAUUUACUGAUGAAGAUAGCAAAUGUUCCUGUUUUUAAAUAUAGUUAUUUGUGCUUCCAGUUGGUAGAGAUUGAAGUAUUAACUCAUUGAUGUAGGGAAAAAUAGCUCUGUUAUAGACACUACUAGCAUUGGAUAAAUGGUGAGCCUUUUUGAAGUUGUUUUAUGAAAUAAGGCCAGGUCUGGUCUUUUGGGUAUACAAUCCUUUCUUGAGAAUACUAUACUUGAAGUAGAAUAACACUCUUAUAAUAGAAUGCCACUUUGUAAGCUUCCAUGCAGAAAAGCAUAGAGUAGCAUAUUUGACGGAUGAGCAUGGCGGCUCUUCUAAAUCUGUGUUUACCAUUUAACAAUGAACUACGCAAUUUAAUUAAUAGGCCCACUUGAGUUGCCAUGUUGACUGAAAAUCUAUAUAAUCUCUCGUAUACAUAGCUUGUCUUUUUGUACUGUUAUACUAACUGUCACUAUAUAUUAUGUCAAAUGAUGUGACUGUCAAGCAAAAGUUAUGUCACCUGAGAAGUUUUUUUGAGCAAUCACCUGGAAAGCUUAUUUAAGUGUAGCUGAAGUGUACUAUGUAUUUUCGGUGAUCACUUGGACUAAAUCUAUAUUAUCAUUGAGGUAAAUAAAGCUGAACAAGUAAUUGUGAAACAAAAAAU